rnacentral:rRNA from 1 species
AUGAACGCUAGCGACAGGCCUAACACAUGCAAGUCGAGGGCGAGCACAAGGAGCAAUCUGAGGUGGCGACCGGCGCACGGGUGAGUAACACGUAUGCAACCUGCCUGUAAGCGGGGAAUAACCCGUUGAAAGACGGACUAAUACCGCAUAAUACUAAAUUACUGCAUGGUAAUUUAUUUAAACAUUUAUGGCUUACAGAUGGGCAUGCGCAUGAUUAGCUAGUUGGAGAGGUAACGGCUCCCCAAGGCAACGAUCAUUAGGGGUUCUGAGAGGAAGGUCCCCACACUGGUACUGAGACACGGACCAGACUCCUACGGGAGGCAGCAGUGAGGAAUAUUGGUCAAUGGACGAGAGUCUGAACCAGCCAAGUCGCGUGCAGGAAGAAUGUCCUAAUGGAUUGUAAACUGCUUUUGCAGGGGAAUAAAGUGCAUCACGUGUGAUGUUUUGUAUGUACUCUGCGAAUAAGGAUCGGCUAACUCCGUGCCAGCAGCGGC